AAAAGAUUAAGAUAUAGGACCAAAAAAAAAACCAAAACCCCAGACUGUUGUAGAUGGCAGGCAUGAAUGUAUAUUUAUAUACAUAUAACAUAAAUCCUGUUAUGUUUGUGGACUAUUUAAGAAGUGAUAUAAAGAGCAGCUCUUUGAGAUAAGGCAAGACAAUUUUUAAGGGACAGUCAUUUCCAAAAAUAGGAGUGAGGAUUACCAUGUAGUUCAGCAAUUUAUUCCAAAAUCCUGUUGAAGCAAGCACUUGUAGCAUGUGCAAAAUUGCCUUAUAUAUAUGAAUAGUAUCGCCACUAGUUUGAAAAUGAUUCUAGUAACAAGAUAAUUUAGAGGCACAGACUUUAAGAAUUCUGUGGUCUUAAACAUGUUGAUAAAAAUGAUUUAAUAUUAUUAAACUUUUUGUAGGUGGUUAAAAGGCAGUUAUCAUAAUUAAACAUGUACUAGGCAACUGAAAAUUAACCACUAUCAUGGCUGAUUAUACAUAUGACCAAAUGGUGAUACCAUAUUAAUUAACUUACAGGUUAAAACUUUUGUUAUCUAGUGAUAUGGGUCCCACUUGCUAAAUUUGUGUACUUGCAGUCUGAGUUCAUCUGAUUGUAUAUUUAAAACUUCCUGAAAUUGGUAUAUUUUGUAGAUGCACAGUACAGCUUGAAUCUUAGUUUUUCCAAACUUAAAAGAGGCCAAAUGUAGUUUAAGGAAUUUGCAUCAAUAUUGCAGUUCUGGUGCCUGAUUUUUUUUUCUUUUUACCUAAGAAACAUUUAAACAUAAUGUGCCUCAGUUGGGUUUAUUUGUAAAUUCUUUAAUCAUUGCAUAAAGAACACUUAAGAUAUGGCAGUAUUUUAAAGGCAAAUAUUCUUUUCUAAAAGUGGGGUGAUGGCCUUGUGUUCAGCAAAUCAACCCAUAAACCUCAAAAAAAGCACUUCAUGCUGUCACUAAGGACACUGCCUCCACUUUGAUGGACCGGCCUCAUUUUUGACAGCUGUGCUAUUAGAGCUUUAGAUUAAAUAUUCAAGUUUCUUCCCUAGCUCAAAUUUCUAUAGUUGUAAAUCCAUGGUUACAACAGCAUAUUGAGUUCCAUCUUUAGAGAGGCAAAGAUUUAGGCUUAAUAUCCAAGAGACACUUAAGUAUCAAGAGAUACUUAUACUUCUUAAUUCUGCAAGAGGGCUUACCUGGUAGGCCGUCUCCUUAAUUUAGAC
rnacentral:lncRNA from 1 species